AUGAAGAGUCCUAAUUAGAAAUGAGAAAGUAGUUAGCUGCGAUACAUCAAAUAAUAUGUCAGAAUGACAUGACCUGUCAUCGAUCUUUAAGCUAUGGUAUCCUGCACUGGGAGGCUCUUAAGAGGGAAAGUAAAAAGAGACCAGUACCACUGAGUAUAUCUAAGUACAUCUCCACUAAGUAAUUUCAAACUUCACAGACCUGUAAACUGUACAAACUGUAACUGGGACAAAAAUAGUGACUCAGACUGAGAAAUUAAUAUUAUCAGCAGCAACAUGUUGCACGGGAGGGAGGGAGGGGUGUAAUAUGAUUACAGGGGUGUAUCCUCAAACUAUGCCAUGAUUAAUGCGGACAUCUUUUCAAGGAGCAGAAAGUAGCUGAAUGCCUUCAGGCCUCUGCCUUCUGCCCUUGCUGCCUCAGUUCCCAAUGUUCCGAUGAUCCAGAUAAACCUGGGGUUCCUGUUCUCUGCGCGGAAAAACCAAACCAAUUGACUUAAUUUGCAUAUAUUUGAGUGGUUCAAAUAUAACCCAAAUAACUUUUUUUUACUUGAUUGGUUUGUGUGCUCUUUCUGUCAUCUUUUUGUAUUUACUUUAGUUAUCGAAUACUUUUCUGUACUUAAGUAUUCUUUGGUGUGGUCUCCCCCUUCAUGUUGCUCCACCAAGAGCCAGGUGAGCAUGACAUUAAAGACUGAAACACUACGACAUGCAUGCCCACACACUGACAGGCAGUUCUUUUCUUAGUAACUUCAUAUGUAGGUGUGGCUUACGUAUUGAAAUGUCAAACCAAUGUGCUUUGUUAUUGAGUGACGGCUGUUACACAGACAUGGUUUUUGACACUCCCACAGGAGUGUCUAACAAAGGUAUGCCAGUCAGGCUUACGGUCAGUUAUUAACUCAAACUAAAACAGCUUUCAUCAGUAUACAGAUACAAGGGUGCUGAGUGUCACUGCUGAUUGAAUGGGCCAACUGAGUGAUGUACUGGCAGCAGGAUGUCUUCUGCCUCUUGAGAGUUGUUCUCCAGAGGUUCAUCUGGCAGUGUUUCCAGGCAAUGGAACAGCUGAGCAGUGAAUGCUGAAAUCGAGUGGUUUCAUUAUUCCAUCCUUCAGCUGUGUUUGUUCAUUUACCUUCCACCGUUUGAUGGUUGUCUCUUGAAAGGUGUGAACUAAAAGCCUUGCGGGGUGCAGAAGCACAGAGCCCACAGCAGCAUCACUGGGGGGUUCUGGAAAUAUUUGCAGCAAGAGGUAAUUGGGCUUAAUUGUCAGUGUCAAACAUUGCCUUCAAAUUGUAUUACUAUUGCAUUUCAACUGUUAUAUUAAGGCACUUUAUCCUGUGGCUGCUGUACAAUUAUCAGGCAACCUGUAGUAUGUGUGUGUGUGAUUGUAUUCAUGCUUCUGUUGUUUC